CCCAUCGUUGGAGGUUCCAGACUGGGUACUGUCACCGGACGCUCCGGACUGGGUACUCGCUCCGGACUGGGUACUGUCUCCGGACGCUCCGGACUGGGUACUGUCGCCGGACGCUCUGGACUGGAUACUGUCGGCGGACGCUCCGGACUGGGUACUGCCGCUGUACGCUCUGGACUGGGUACUGUCGCCGGAGGCUCCGGACUGGGUACUGUCGCCGGAGGCUCCGGACUGGGUACUGUCGCCGGACGCUCCGGACUGGGUACUGUCGCCGGAGGCUCUGGACUGGGUACUGUCGCCGGAGGCUCCGGACUGGGUACUGUCGCCGGAGGCUCCGGACUGGGUACUGUCGCCGGACGCUCCGGACUGGGUACUGUCGCCGGACGCUCCGGACUGGGUACUGUCGCUGGAUGCUCUGGACUGGGUACUGUCGCCGGACGCUCAGGACUGGGUACUGUCGCCGGACGCUCCGGACUGGGUACUGUCGCCGGACGCUCCGGACUGGGUACUGUCGCCGGACGCUCCGGACUGGGUACUGUCGCCGGAUGCUCCGGACUGGGUACUGUCGCCGGACGCUCUGGACUGGGUACUGUCGCCGGACGCUCUGGACUGGGUACUGUCGCCGGACGCUCUGGGCUGGGUACUGUCGCCGGACGCUCUGGACUGCCGAGGCGCAUUGGAGGCCUGAUGACUGGUGCCAGUACUGGUGGUACUGGGCUGGUGACACACACCUCAGGGCGAGUGUGGGGAGCAGGCAUAGGACGUACUGGACUGUGGAGGCACACUGGAGAUCUGGAGUGUAGAGCUGACACAACCGGUCCUGGCUGGAUGUUUAUUUUCGCCCUGCAAACGCACUGGGCUGUGCAGACUCACCGGAGACACAGUACGCAGAGCCGGUGCAGGAUUUCCUGGUCCAAGGAGGUAUACUGGAGACCAGGAGCGCUAAGCCGGCACCCUCCUUCCUGGCUGGAUGCCCAUUCUAGCCCGGCCAAGGCCACCAUAGACCUACAUAUACCUAGACAUACCAAAACCCCAUAG
rnacentral:lncRNA from 1 species